CGGUUUUUUCCUCAGGCUUCCGGUCUGUUUGGUGCCCUGGUCGCGUGUCUUCCGAACUCUGCUGCUUCGCCCCGGCAAGAGCACUUCCUUCCGCGGCUGCUAAAACUGGUGCGCGGGUUCCCAACUUCGCAGAAGAGCUUCAUCGGCCCCCCGCUAGAGACCUCAGACCGCAGCCAUCGACGCCUCGCCUCGGGGAUCUGUCCCCACCCUCGGGGCCAGGCUCACCAUGAGUCAGGCCCUGUGCUAGGUGCUGGGAUGAAGCAGUGACUGACACAGGCCUGGACCUGUCCUUGGGAAGAGUGCGUCUGUGACACAGAUACUGUGCCAUGUGGCAAAGACUUGAAUGGAGACAUCAGCUCUUUGUGGGUCUCAAGUCUACUGGCUUUCAAUCAGCUCUUCUGCUUGACAGCUGCAGGUCUUGGGACUGCCCAGCCCCCAUAACCCUGUGAGUGCAUUCCUGAUAAUAACCCUCUUUCUCUUGUCCUCCCCCACCCCACAUCAUUGGUUCUGUUUCUCUGGAGAACCAUAAUACAUCAUUUACUAAUCAGGAAAUAGAUUCAGAGACAUUAAUAACUCAUCCAACCUCACAGUUAACUGUAGAGUUGGGCUUGAAAUUCCAAGGUCGAUUUUCUUAGCCAAUACACCAUGCUACAUAUAUGUAUGUAAAAAUAAAAACGCUUGUGAACUGAAAAGGGUCCA
rnacentral:lncRNA from 1 species